GUGUUUCUAUUUUUAUUUUUGGACAGAUUUGGCCUCAGCAUUUCAGUGUUCACAGCUGAAUCUCUUGUUUCUUUACACAGCUUGCUCCCUGAUUGUCUCAGUUUGUCUUGUCUUCAGCAUCCCUCACAUCUGGUUUUUAUGUUCUUGCCACCUCUGGAUUUGAGCCAGUGUUUGGACCCUUUAUCCAAUCAACAUUCAUCUAUUCAUAGCAGGCUCAUGUUACUAAAAUGCAUAACUGGAAAUCUCAAGCUGAACUAUACUAUAAAAGAAACAUCUCCUUGAUCCAGAAGCCUACCUAAUCAUCAAGUUGAGUCAUGACACUGCCAAAAAACUUUUUAUGAAAUAUCCUCAUCCUCCUCUUCCUUCCUGUCUUCCCCCUGUCCUUGGAAAAUCCUUGUGUAGCCUGCGGGGUGGGGGGAUGGGGUGAGUAGUUACACGGUGCCUUUCAUUCAACUCCUUAUCACAACAUUAUCUCAGCAUUCCAAUGCCUUGAGCUGGA